rnacentral:rRNA from 1 species
UACGUAGGUGGCAAGCGUUGUCCGGAAUUAUUGGGCGUAAAGCGCGCGCAGGUGGUUUCUUAAGUCUGAUGUGAAAGCCCACGGCUCAACCGUGGAGGGUCAUUGGAAACUGGGGAACUUGAGUGCAGAAGAGGAAAGUGGAAUUCCAAGUGUAGCGGUGAAAUGCGUAGAUAUCGAGAGGAACACCUGCGGCGAAGGCGGGUUGCUGGGCCGACACUGACGCUGAUGCGCGAAAGCCAGGGGAGCGAACGGG